rnacentral:rRNA from 1 species
CAGUCGACGGCAGCACAGGGAGCUUGCUCCCGGGUGGCGAGUGGCGCACGGGUGAGUAAUACAUCGGAACGUGUCCUGUUGUGGGGGAUAACUGCUCGAAAGGGUGGCUAAUACCGCAUGAGACCUGAGGGUGAAAGCGGGGGAUCGCAAGACCUCGCGCAAUUGGAGCGGCCGAUGCCCGAUUAGCUAGUUGGUGAGGUAAAGGCUCACCAAGGCGACGAUCGGUAGCUGGUCUGAGAGGACGACCAGCCACACUGGGACUGAGACACGGCCCAGACUCCUACGGGAGGCAGCAGUGGGGAAUUUUGGACAAUGGGGGCAACCCUGAUCCAGCCAUGCCGCGUGCAGGAUGAAGGCCUUCGGGUUGUAAACUGCUUUUGUCAGGGACGAAAAGGACCGUGUUAAUACCAUGGUCUGCUGACGGUACCUGAAGAAUAAGCACCGGCUAACUACGUGCCAGCAGCCGCGGUAAUACGUAGGGUGCAAGCGUUAAUCGGAAUUACUGGGCGUAA